GUCGUUGUGUGGAUGCGUGCACAGACUUGUAGGAUAUCGCAGCAUUUGGCUUCGAAGCUUCGUUCGUUCUGCACGCUUCUGUAACAGAAUUACAUAAAGAAUAAAACUUCAUAAGCGGAACUAUUAAAUGAAUCUUCGUCAAAAUAAACAGUUGUCAACCAAUGCCUGUAUGUCAACACUCUACCUACUACUCCUACUAUUCCUAAUGUUAGCUUAGGAUUUUCAGCUUCACAAGAUGACAAUUGGAGCAAGGGAUUGGUGAUCAACGAUUGGUCACACCGGAAAUUCAUUCGCUGUUCCACUUCCGAAACCCUACCAAAAGACGAAUAAGGCCAGGCCAGCAGUAAGUGAUACAACAUUCACGGCCUCCUGGGAGAAGUUUCUCUACAGGCUGCCGGAGUGUCUCGUAAAAGGAAAUUGCGCCAUGAAGGGAACUAGCUGCGCGACCGCGAAAACCAGCCUCCGAGACGCCAGGCGUCGCGACGCGCGUCCCUUUCAAUGUUCCAGUAAUCGUAAGAUUUAAUUUCUCGUUGAUUAAUUUAUGAUAAACUGCUCCUGUUGAAAUGUUUUUAUGCAUGUUUAUUACUAAUUGCCUAUUUCUUUAUUCAAUUUUAUUUUAUCUUUUCUUUUGAAAUAAUUAACAAUAUUAAAUUUAAAAUUUUAAAAAUUAAAUUCCACAAAAUCAAUGAUAUUUAAUUUAUGAAAUAAAAAAAAAUGGAAAAAUCCUGUAUUCUAUCCUUUCAUAGGACAUUGAAUUAUUCUGAUUUUUCGUUCAACAAUAGCAAGGAAGCUUUAAAUUGUCUGGUGCCCGUAACUCGUAGUAAUACUCAAUCGAUUUAACGAUGAAAUAUUCCCAGCGUUUCGUAUUCAUUUUACGCAAAUACGGCAUAUAUUUUACAUAUCUAUCGAAUUGAAAGCGGAUAUGUGAGCAUUAUUCCCAUACAACGUAUUAGCCCGGCACAGACAACCACAUUUUGUAUUCGAUUAUACUGGAUCGAGCUGAAAGUUGAAUUUUCCUUCCGACAGAAAUAUCCUUUUAAAAAGGAACAUUGUCUAUCGUUGACGUUUCCUUCGUCUUUUGACUAAACAUUUAUUCUAUUCGAGCAAUGUAAUGAAUACAGAUUGAUCAUAAAUUUAAAUUGAA